rnacentral:lncRNA from 1 species
UUGUUCCCACAUGGUUCCAUAAAGGUAAGAAGAUUAUAUAUUUGCAAAAGGCAAGUAAUAUAGGUAAUUUGGAGCUCCCUUUUGCAAAAGGCAGAGAGAUCUUGCAAAAGGCAAGUAAGGCCUUGCUGGGGGAAAUUUUAGAUAGUCCCAUAGAUAAGGAAAUUGAAAGAGAAUUCAAAUAGGAAUCUGAGGUAGUCGACAAAGGAGGAGUUGAAAAAGAGAAAGAAGAAGAAAAGUGCGCAACAUCUG